CCUACGGGGGGCAGCAGUGGGGAAUAUUGCACAAUGGGGGAAACCCUGAUGCAGCGACGCCGCGUGAGUGAAGAAGUAUCUCGGUACGUAAAGCUCUAUCAGCAGGGAAGAAAAAAAGUCUUUGGCUUUGGACGGUACCUGACUAAGAAGCCCCGGCUAACUACGUGCCAGCAGCCGCGGUAAUACGUAGGGGGCAAGCGUUAUCCGGAUUUACUGGGUGUAAAGGGAGCGUAGACGGCAGCGCAAGUCUGGAGUGAAAUGCCGGGGCUCAACCCCGGAACUGCUUUGGAAACUGUGCAGCUAGG
rnacentral:rRNA from 1 species